UCUUAUGGAUGAGCAAAGAAAGUGGCUUCUUGAGAUGAAUCCACUCCUGGUGAAAAUGCUGUGAA
rnacentral:pre_miRNA from 1 species